rnacentral:rRNA from 1 species
UACGGAGGAUCCAAGCGUUAUCCGGAAUCAUUGGGUUUAAAGGGUCCGUAGGCGGUCUAAUAAGUCAGUGGUGAAAGCCCAUCGCUCAACGAUGGAACGGCCAUUGAUACUGUUAGACUUGAAUUACUGGGAAGUAACUAGAAUAUGUAGUGUAGCGGUGAAAUGCUUAGAUAUUACAUGGAAUACCAAUUGCGAAGGCAGGUUACUACCAGUGGAUUGACGCUGAUGGACGAAAGCGUGGGGAGCGAACAGG